rnacentral:rRNA from 1 species
GACGAACGCUGUCGGCGUGCUUAACACAUGCAAGUCGAACGGAAAGGCCCUGCUUUUGUGGGGUGCUCGAGUGGCGAACGGGUGAGUAACACGUGAGUAACCUGCCCUUGACUUUGGGAUAACUUCAGGAAACUGGGGCUAAUACCGGAUAGGAGCUCCUGCUGCAUGGUGGGGGUUGGAAAGUUUCGGCGGUUGGGGAUGGACUCGCGGCUUAUCAGCUUGUUGGUGGGGUAGUGGCUUACCAAGGCUUUGACGGGUAGCCGGCCUGAGAGGGUGACCGGCCACAUUGGGACUGAGAUACGGCCCAGACUCCUACGGGAGGCAGCAGUGGGGAAUAUUGCACAAUGGGCGGAAGCCUGAUGCAGCAACGCCGCGUGCGGGAUGACGGCCUUCGGGUUGUAAACCGCUUUCGCCUGUGACGAAGCGUGAGUGACGGUAAUGGGUAAAGAAGCACCGGCUAACUACGUGCCAGCAGCCGCGGUGAUACGUAGGGUGCGAGCGUUGUCCGGAUUUAUUGGGCGUAAAGGGCUCGUAGGUGGUUGAUCGCGUCGGAAGUGUAAUCUUGGGGCUUAACCCUGAGCGUGCUUUCGAUACGGGUUGACUUGAGGAAGGUAGGGGAGAAUGGAAUUCCUGGUGGAGCGGUGGAAUGCGCAGAUAUCAGGAGGAACACCAGUGGCGAAGGCGGUUCUCUGGGCCUUUCCUGACGCUGAGGAGCGAAAGCGUGGGGAGCGAACAGGCUUAGAUACCCUGGUAGUCCACGCUGUAAACGGUGGGUACUAGGUGUGGGGUCCAUUCCACGGGUUCCGUGCCGUAGCUAACGCUUUAAGUACCCCGCCUGGGGAGUACGGCCGCAAGGCUAAAACUCAAAGGAAUUGACGGGGCCCCGCACAAGCGGCGGAGCAUGCGGAUUAAUUCGAUGCAACGCGUAGAACCUUACCUGGGUUUGGCAUGGAUCGGGAGCGCUCAGAGAUGGGUGUGCCUCUUUUGGGGUCGGUUCACAGGUGGUGCAUGGCUGUCGUCAGCUCGUGUCGUGAGAUGUUGGGUUAAGUCCCGCAACGAGCGCAACCCUUGUUCACUGUUGCCAGCACGUUAUGGUGGGGACUCAGUGGAGACCGCCGGGGUCAACUCGGAGGAAGGUGGGGAUGACGUCAAGUCAUCAUGCCCCUUAUGUCCAGGGCUUCACGCAUGCUACAAUGGCUGGUACAGAGAGUGGCGAGCCUGUGAGGGUGAGCGAAUCUCGGAAAGCCGGUCUCAGUUCGGAUUGGGGUCUGCAACUCGACCUCAUGAAGUCGGAGUCGCUAGUAAUCGCAGAUCAGCAACGCUGCGGUGAAUACGUUCCCGGG